rnacentral:snRNA from 1 species
GUGCUCGCUUCAGCAGCCCAUAUACUAAAAUUGGAACAAUACCGAGAAGCUUAGCAUGGCCCCUGUGCAAGGAUGACACGCAAGUUUGUGCAGCUUUCCAUAUUCUU